GUGGGGAAUUUUGGACAAUGGGGGAAACCCUGAUCCAGCGACGCCGCGUGAAGGAUGAAGGCCUUCGGGUUGUAAACUUCUUUUGGAGGGGACGAAUAAAUUGACGGUACCCUCAGAAAAAGCCACGGCUAACUACGUGCCAGCAGCCGCGGUAAUACGUAGGUGGCGAGCGUUACUCGGAGUUACUAGGCGUAAAGCGUAUGUAGGCGGUUGUAUAAGUCUAUGGUGAAAUUUCCUGGCUCAACUGGGAAGGGAAAUAGAUAAUGUAUGGGUGGAGUGUUGGAGGGGGAGACGGAAUUCCUGGUGUAGCGGUGAAAUGCGUAGAUAUCAGGAGGAACACCGAUGGCGAAAGCAGUCUCCUGGCCAAAUACUGACGCUGAGGUACGAAAGCUAGAGUAGCAAACAGGAUUAGAAACCCUUGUAGUCC
rnacentral:rRNA from 1 species